rnacentral:rRNA from 1 species
AUUGAACGCUGGCGGCAGGCCUAACACAUGCAAGUCGAACGGUAACAGGAAGAAGCUUGCUUCUUUGCUGACGAGUGGCGGACGGGUGAGUAAUGUCUGGGAAACUGCCUGAUGGAGGGGGAUAACUACUGGAAACAGUAACUAUUAUCCCAUAUCGUCCCAACACCAAAAAGGGGGACCUUCUGGCCUCUUGCCAUCGGGUGUGCCCAGAUGGGAUUAGCUAGUAGGUGGGGUAACGGCUCACCUAGGCGACGAUCCCUAGCUGGUCUGAGAGGAUGACCAGCCACACUGGAACUGAGACACGGUCCAGACUCCUACGGGAGGCAGCAGUGGGGAAUAUUGCACAAUGGGCGCAAGCCUGAUGCAGCCAUGCCGCGUGUAUGAAGAAGGCCUUCGGGUUGUAAAGUACUUUCAGCGGGGAGGAAGGGAGUAAAGUUAAUACCUUUGCUCAUUGACGUUACCCGAAGAAGAAGCACCGGCUAACUCCGUG